UACGGAGGGGGCGAGCGUUAUUCGGAAUUAUUGGGCGUAAAGGGCGCGUAGGCGGCUGUACAAGUCAAAGGUGAAAUCCCUCGGCUCAACUGAGGAACUGCCUUUGAAACUGUACGGCUUGAGGCCGGGAGGGGGUAGCGGAAUUCCCAGUGUAGCGGUGAAAUGCGUAGAUACUGGGAGGAACACCAGUGGCGAAAGCGGCUCACUGGACCAUAACUGACGCUGAUGCACGAAAGCUAGGGGAGCAAACAGG
rnacentral:rRNA from 1 species